UUGGAGGGCAAGUCUGGUGCCAGCAGCCGCGGUAAUUCCAGCUCCAAUGGCGUAUAUUAAAGUUGUUGCAGUUAAAAAGCUCGUAGUUGAAUUUCGGAGUUUGUCGGUCGGUCGGGCUUCACUGUCCGCACUGGCCUGACGGAUUCCUACCUUCUGAAUAACCAGCAUGCUAUUAAGUUAGUGCGUUGGGGAAGCAGAGCUAUUACCUUGAAAAAAUUAGAGUGCUUAAGGCAGGCUUAUGCUUGAAUAGAUUAGCAUGGAAUAAUAAAAUAGGACGGCAUGGUUCUAUUUUGUUGGUUUCUAGGAUCACCGUAAUGAUUAAUAGGGAUAGUUGGGGGCAUUAGUAUUCAAUUGUCAGAGGUGAAAUUCUUGGAUUUAUUGAAGACUAACUACUGCGAAAGCAUUUGCCAAGGAUGUUUUCAUUAAUCAAGAACGAAAGUUAGGGGAUCGAAGACGAUCAGAUACCGUCGUAGUCUUAACCAUAAACUAUGCCGACUAGGGAUCGGAUGAUGUUAAUUUUUUAAUGACUCAUUCGGCGCCUUACGGGAAAC
rnacentral:rRNA from 1 species